rnacentral:rRNA from 1 species
UGGGGAGCAAACAGGAUUAGAUACCCUGGUAGUCCACGCCGUAAACGAUGUCUACUUGGAGGUUGUGCCCUUGAGGCGUGGCUUCCGGAGCUAACGCGUUAAGUAGACCGCCUGGGGAGUACGGCCGCAAGGUUAAAACUCAAAUGAAUUGACGGGGGCCCGCACAAGCGGUGGAGCAUGUGGUUUAAUUCGAUGCAACGCGAAGAACCUUACCUGGUCUUGACAUCCACAGAAUUCUGCAGAGAUGCGGAAGUGCCUUCGGGAACUGUGAGACAGGUGCUGCAUGGCUGUCGUCAGCUCGUGUUGUGAAAUGUUGGGUUAAGUCCCGCAACGAGCGCAACCCUUAUCCUUUGUUGCCAGCGGUUAGGCCGGGAACUCAAAGGAGACUGCCAGUGAUAAACUGGAGGAAGGUGGGGAUGACGUCAAGUCAUCAUGGCCCUUACGACCAGGGCUACACACGUGCUACAAUGGCGCAUACAAAGAGAAGCGACCUCGCGAGAGCAAGCGGACCUCAUAAAGUGCGUCGUAGUCCGGAUUGGAGUCUGCAACUCGACUCCAUGAAGUCGGAAUCGCUAGUAAUCGUGGAUCAGAAUGCCACGGUGAAUACGUUCCCGGGCC